UACAGAGGUCUCAAGCGUUGUUCGGAUUCAUUGGGCGUAAAGGGUGCGUAGGCGGCGGAGUAAGUUGGGUGUGAAAUCCCGGGGCUUAACCUCGGAAUUGCAUUCAAUACUGCUUCGCUCGAGUACUGGAGAGGAGGCUGGAAUUUACGGUGUAGCAGUGAAAUGCGUAGAUAUCGUAAGGAAGGCCGGUGGCGAAAGCGAGCCUCUGGACAGUUCCUGACGCUGAGGCACGAAGGUCAGGGGAGCAAACGGG
rnacentral:rRNA from 1 species